rnacentral:rRNA from 1 species
GGUGCAUGGUUGUCGUCAGCUCGUGUCGUGAGAUGUUGGGUUAAGUCCCGCAACGAGCGCAACCCUUAUUCUUAUUUGCCAUCAUUUAUUUGGGCACUCUAAGGAGACUGCCGGUGACAAACCGGAGGAAGGUGGGGAUGACGUCAAAUCAUCAUGCCCCUUAUGACCUGGGCUACACACGUGCUACAAUGGACGAUACAAAGAGUCGCAAACUCGCGAGGGUAAGCUAAUCUCAUAAAAUCGUUCUCAUUUCAGAUUGUAGGCUGCAACUCGCCUGCAUGAAGCCGGAAUCGCUAG